rnacentral:rRNA from 1 species
GACGAACGCUGGCGGCGUGCUUAACGCAUGCAAGUCGAACGGAAAGGCCUCUUUCGGGGGGUACUCGAGUGGCGAACGGGUGAGUAACACGUGAGUAACCUGCCCUUGACUUUGGGAUAACUUCAGGAAACUGGGGCUAAUACCGGAUAGGAGCUCCUGCUGCAUGGUGGGGGUUGGAAAGUUUCGGCGGUUGGGGAUGGACUCGCGGCUUAUCAGCUUGUUGGUGGGGUAGUGGCUUACCAAGGCUUUGACGGGUAGCCGGCCUGAGAGGGUGACCGGCCACAUUGGGACUGAGAUACGGCCCAGACUCCUACGGGAGGCAGCAGUGGGGAAUAUUGCACAAUGGGUGGAAGCCUGAUGCAGCAACGCCGUGUGCGGGAUGACGGCCUUCGGGUUGUAAACCGCUUUCGCUCAUGACGAAGCUUUGUGUGACGGUAGUGGGUAAAGAAGCACCGGCUAACUACGUG